GGGGGAGCCAAACGGGAUUAGAUACCCCCGGGCAGUCCCACGCCGUAAACCCAUGGGAUGCCUAGUUAUUACUCCACAUCCGACCCUGAGUAGUAGCCGCAGUUAACCGCGUUAAGCCAUCCCCGCCUGGGGAGUACGAUCGCAAGAUUAAAACUCAAAGGAAUUGACGGGGACCCGCACAAGCCGGUGGAGCGUGUUGUUUAAUUCGAGGAUAAGCGAAGAACCUUACCCAGACUUGACUUCCCUACGAAGUUCGAUGAAAGUUGAAUGUGCCCUUGUGGAACGUGGUGACAGGUGAUGCAUGGCCGUCGUCAGCUCGUGUCGUGAGAUGUAUGGUUAAGUCCAUUAACGAGCGCAACCCUUGUAUUCAGUUGGAUUUUUCUGAAUAGACUGCCCUGGCAACAGGGAGGAAGGAGGGGAUGAUGUCCAGGUCCCGUAUUUCCCUUACGUCUGGGGCUACAAACACGCUACAAUGGCCAAUACAAAGAGCAGCCAACCCGCGAGGGGGAGCAAAU
rnacentral:rRNA from 1 species